ensembl:misc_RNA 7SK 7SK RNA
GGAUGUGAGGGAGAUCCAGCUGCCCCCUCAUCGCUCCAUGUGCAUCCCUCCUGAAGCUGUGUGAGGAUGAAAAGGAUGCUCACCUCCAGCAGCGGAGAACCUUCCUCAGUCAAGGAUAUGCGAGUGGCUGUGCUCCCCUGCUAGAACCUCCCAAGUAGCUCUCAAUUUUUCAAAUAUUAAAUGUGGUUGGUGGCUACAGUAUUGGACAGUGCCAAUCAUAAAACAUCUCCAUCAUGGAGAAAUUCU